rnacentral:pre_miRNA from 1 species
AACGUACUUGCUCCGUUCCGAAUUCCUUGUCGUACAUAUGAAUGUAUCUAGAUGUAUUUUAAUUUUAGAUACAUUAUUUUUACGACGAGUAAUUUGGAACGGAGGGGGAGUACGUG